rnacentral:misc_RNA from 1 species
UCAGGUUCUGUGGAUUUUUAUUUUCUUGUAUGAAACCAAAGUAUUUGUCAAUUUACCCAUAAUUCACUGUAUUUCCUGUUCAUUUGAUGUUACAAGUUUCCAUAAUGUAUUCUAUCAACAGACUGGCUAGAAGUUUUUUUUUUCCUAUUCUGUUUAAAAAAAAAAUUUCUCCAAAUAAGUGCUGACAGAUUUUGCUGGGGACCAAAAUCAGAUUCAAUGUAUAUAUAUAUAUCUAUAUCUGUAUUUGUGUGUUUAGUUGUCUAGCCAAACCAUCGUGUAGAAGUUAUCAUCUGUGUGAUGCCAUCAGCAUUCUGGCUUGCUUUGUAGGAAAUUUCAUUGUAGAUACACCUGUCAUAAGGAUCUUCCACUGGAUUUUAUCAAUAAAACAUUUUUGCAGU